UCGGAGCAGGCAUUGCAUGGGAUUCAUCGCAAGGGGGGCUAUUUAGCAAAUCAAAGAUCGUGACGCAACUGCUAACAAGCCUCCAUGAAAAAUUCAUACAGAUCAGCACGAUCCUAGCCGACUCUAAGAGCUCGAGCUGACCAUCAGGGAGCAAAAGAGAAAGAUCAAGCAAGCUACUUUUUUCUCCCAAGUCGUCACCUGCUACCCAGUCAUGAAAGACUAUCCUGGCAUCAUCUUUUAAGGGAAAGAAGUUCCAAGACAAUGAAAUGCCCAUCACCUCCAGAGGUACUAUCCAC
rnacentral:lncRNA from 1 species